CUAUAUUUGAGUGUAAUCACGUGAAUUUUUGAAGUUCAAAAUUUUUAUUUUUUAAAAAAAUGUA
rnacentral:tRNA from 1 species